rnacentral:rRNA from 1 species
AGAGCGAACGCUGGCGGCAGGCCUAACACAUGCAAGUCGAACGGACUCUUCGGAGUUAGUGGCGGACGGGUGAGUAACACGUGGGAACGUGCCUUUAGGUUCGGAAUAGCUCCUGGAAACGGGUGGUAAUACCGAAUGUGCCCUUCGGGGGAAAGAUUUAUCGCCUUUAGAGCGGCCCGCGUCUGAUUAGCUUGUUGGUGAGGUAAUGGCUCACCAAGGCUACGAUCAGUAGCUGGUCUGAGAGGAUGACCAGCCACAUUGGGACUGAGACACGGCCCAAACUCCUACGGGAGGCAGCAGUGGGGAAUCUUGCGCAAUGGGCGAAAGCCUGACGCAGCCAUGCCGCGUGUAUGAUGAAGGUCUUAGGAUUGUAAAAUACUUUCACCGGUGAAGAUAAUGACUGUAGCCGGAGAAGAAGCCCCGGCUAACUUCGUGCCAGCAGCCGC